GAAUUCGCCCUUAGAGUUUGAUCCUGGCUCAGGACGAACGCUGGCGGCGCGCCUAACACAUGCAAGUCGAACGGAGCUUAGAGAGCUUGCUUUUUAAGCUUAGUGGCGAACGGGUGAGUAACGCGUGAGUAACCUGCCCUAGAGUGGGGGACAACAGUUGGAAACGACUGCUAAUACCGCAUAAGCCCACGGUACCGCAUGGUACUGAGGGAAAAGGAUUUAUUCGCUUUAGGAUGGACUCGCGUCCGAUUAGCUAGUUGGUGAGGUAACGGCCCACCAAGGCGACGAUUGGUAGCCGGACUGAGAGGUUGAACGGCCACAUUGGGACUGAGACACGGCCCAGACUCCUACGGGAGGCAGCAGUGGGGGAUAUUGCACAAUGGGGGAAACCCUGAUGCAGCGACGCCGCGUGGAGGAAGAAGGUUUUCGGAUUGUAAACUCCUGUCGUUAGGGACGAUAAUGACGGUACCUAACAAGAAAGCACCGGCUAACUACGUGCCAGCAGCCGCGGUAAAACGUAGGGUGCAAGCGUUGUCCGGAAUUACUGGGUGUAAAGGGAGCGCAGGCGGGAAGACAAGUUGGAAGUGAAAACCAUGGGCUCAACCCAUGAAUUGCUUUCAAAACUGUUUUUCUUGAGUAGUGCAGAGGUAGAUGGAAUUCCCCGGUGUAGCGGUGGAAUGCGUAGAUAUCGGGGAGGAACACCAGUGGCGAAGGCGGUCUACUGGGCACCAACUGACGCUGAGGCUCGAAAGCAUGGGUAGCAAACAGGAUUAGAUACCCUGGUAGUCCAUGCCGUAAACGAUGAUUACUAGGUGUUGGGGGAUUGACCCCCUCAGUGCCGCAGUUAACACAAUAAGUAAUCCACCUGGGGAGUACGACCGCAAGGUUGAAACUCAAAGGAAUUGACGGGGGCCCGCACAAGCAGUGGAGUAUGUGGUUUAAUUCGACGCAACGCGAAGAACCUUACCAAGUCUUGACAUCCUGCGACGCACAUAGAAAUAUGUGUUUCCUUCGGGACGCAGAGACAGGUGGUGCAUGGUUGUCGUCAGCUCGUGUCGUGAGAUGUUGGGUUAAGUCCCGCAACGAGCGCAACCCUUAUGGUCAGUUACUACGCAAGAGGACUCUGGCCAGACUGCCGUUGACAAAACGGAGGAAGGUGGGGAUGACGUCAAAUCAUCAUGCCCUUUAUGACUUGGGCUACACACGUACUACAAUGGCGUUAAACAAAGAGAAGCAAGACCGCGAGGUGGAGCAAAACUCAGAAACAACGUCCCAGUUCGGACUGCAGGCUGCAACUCGCCUGCACGAAGUCGGAAUUGCUAGUAAUCGCAGAUCAGCAUGCUGCGGUGAAUACGUUCUCGGGCCUUGCACACACCGCCCGUCA
rnacentral:rRNA from 1 species